GACGUAGGGGGCGAGCGUUGUCCGGAUUUAUUGGGCGUAAAGAGCUCGUAGGUGGCUUGUCGCGUCGGUUGUGAAAACCUGCAGCUUAACUGUGGGCGUGCAGCCGAUACGGGCGGGCUAGAGGCAGGUAGGGGAGAGUGGAACUCCUGGUGUAGCGGUGAAAUGCGCAGAUAUCAGGAAGAACACCGGUGGCGAAGGCGGCUCUCUGGACCUGUUCUGACGCUGAGGAGCGAAAGCGUGGGGAG
rnacentral:rRNA from 1 species